UUGAGGUCUCUGACCAGAGUGAAUGUUUUACUAAAUACUGUUGUUAUUGUAAAACAUUUUGAAAGAAAAGAUGAAGUGCUACUUUGAAUUAUCAAUAGUACUUCAUAACUAUUGUUCAGUUAUCGAAGAUAUACGAUUUGUAUGUGUCAAGCAUCUUGUUAUUAAAUUGUUAUACUAGCUGAGCUAGUUAUGCUCACUCUUGCUUGAACCAUAUAAAUGCAGUUAAGACUGAACGUCCCGAAGGAUCGAAAAAGGAUAAGGGAAAAGCUAAGGCAGAUUACUAAGCUGUCUUGUAAUAGUAUAGGUCUAUUGUUGUAAUUUAAUUGAUAUUAUGACAAAGAACCUUUGUAACGGGUAUAGAACUUGGGAAAUGUAAAUAUUACUUUAAAUAUAUAGAAGUUAUGUUCGUUUUUGAGACUUUUCAAUUGAAUGAAUGUAUGAAUGUUGUAUAGUAUAGCACCAUCUGUCAGGUUGGAAGAUACCCGGAUUUGGGGGCACUACAUUAAUAGUACCCUGUGAAUAGUAUCCUGUGAAUAGUACCUAUCAAUAGUACUUUGUGAAUAGUACCCAUGAAUAGUACUUUGUGAAUAGUACCCCGUGAAUAGUAUUUUGGCAUUAAAAGAUCAAUAAUUAUCAAGAAUGCUAAAAAUAAUAUUUCCAUGAAAAGAUACUGGAUGAAGCACAAAUAUCAAAGAUAUUCUACUAAUUUUACGGAGUAUAGAAGAAAUAAUUUAACAGAAUGAGUGUAGAAUUAGGAAUACGAAACGAAAUAAUAUUACUCACAUACUACAGAAUAUGGAAGAAAAUAUUAUUUCUUACAAAUACUGAACAAAAAUAAUAUCCCUUACCUUAGAAGAAGACUGGAUACUGGAAUAGUGAAGUAGCAGAAUACUUUUCUUCUUUCUCUCUAUAGCUUCUCUCUCUAUAAUUGCUCUUGUGAGUCUUAGUGAAUUGGUGAGAAUGAAAGAAGAAUGAGCUUCUAUUUAUAGGAAAACAUAGUUUCGAUAAUUG
rnacentral:lncRNA from 1 species